UACGGAGGAUGCGAGCGUUAUCCGGAUUUAUUGGAUUUAAAGGGUGCGUAGGCGGAUUUUUAAGUCAGCGGUAAAAUGUCCGGGCUCAACCCGGGCCGGCCGUUGAAACUGGGGAUCUUGAGUGGGCGAGAAGUAUGCGGAAUGCGUGGUGUAGCGGUGAAAUGCAUAGAUAUCACGCAGAACUCCGAUUGCGAAGGCAGCAUACCGGCGCCCGACUGACGCUGAGGCACGAAAGCGUGGGGAUCGAACGGG
rnacentral:rRNA from 1 species